GUCCAGGGAUGGGAAUCGAACCCACAGUGUUCCGCUUACCGGGCACAUGCCAUCAUGUCCACUAGGCUACCCUGGA